rnacentral:rRNA from 1 species
UACGGAGGGAGCUAGCGUUAUUCGGAAUUACUGGGCGUAAAGCGCACGUAGGCGGUUUGUUAAGUCCGUUGUGAAAACCCGAGGCUCAACCUCGGGCCUGCAGUGGGUACGGGCAGACUAGAGUGCGGUAGGGGAGACUGGAAUUCCUGGUGUAGCGGUGAAAUGCGCAGAUAGUCAGGAGGAACACCGAUGGCGAAGGCAGGUCUGCUGG